rnacentral:rRNA from 1 species
GAUGAACGCUGGCGGCGUGCCUAAUACAUGCAAGUCGAGCGAACGGACGAGAAGCUUGCUUCUCUGAUGUUAGCGGCGGACGGGUGAGUAACAAGUGGAUAACCUACCUAUAAGACUGGGAUAACUUCGGGAAACCGGAGCUAAUACCGGAUAAUAUUUUGAACCGCAUGGUUCAAAAGUGAAAGACGGUCUUGCUGUCACUUAUAGAUGGAUCCGCGCUGCAUUAGCUAGUUGGUAAGGUAACGGCUUACCAAGGCAACGAUGCAUAGCCGACCUGAGAGGGUGAUCGGCCACACUGGAACUGAGACACGGUCCAAACUCCUACGGGAGGCAGCAGUAGGGAAUCUUCCGCAAUGGGCGAAAGCCUGACGGAGCAACGCCGCGUGAGUGAUGAAGGUCUUCGGAUCGUAAAACUCUGUUAUUAGGGAAGAACAUAUGUGUAAGUAACUGUGCACAUCUUGACGGUACCUAAUCAGAAAGCCACGGCUAACUACGUG